rnacentral:rRNA from 1 species
AGGAAGCGAUUCCGGCUACGGAUGGUCAUGCGUCGCAUUAGCUAGUUGGCGGGGUAACGGCCCACCAAGGCGACGAUGCGUAGGGGUUCUGAGAGGAAGGUCCCCCACACUGGUACUGAGACACGGACCAGACUCCUACGGGAGGCAGCAGUGAGGAAUAUUGGUCAAUGGCCGCAGGGCUGAACCAGCCAAGUCGCGUGAGGGAUGACGGUCCUAUGGAUUGUAAACCUCUUUUGUCAGGGAGCAAAGGGCGCCACGUGUGGCGCUUUGCGAGUACCUGAAGAAAAAGCAUCGGCUAACUCCGUGCCAGCAGCCGCGGUAAUACGGAGGAUGCGAGCGUUAUCCGGAUUUAUUGGGUUUAAAGGGUGCGCAGGCGGAAUGUCAAGUCAGCGGUAAAAUUUCGGGGCUCAACCCCGUCGUGCCGUUGAAACUGGCGUUCUUGAGUGAGCGAGAAGUAUGCGGAAUGCGUGGUGUAGCGGUGAAAUGCAUAGAUAUCACGCAGAACUCCGAUUGCGAAGGCAGCAUACCGGCGCUCAACUGACGCUCAUGCACGAAAGCGUGGGUAUCGAACAGGAUUAGAUACCCUGGUAGUCCACGCAGU